GGAGGGGACAGCUCAGGGGUAGAGCGUGUGCUUAGCAUGCAUGAGGUCCUGGGUUCAACCCCUAGUACCUCCA
rnacentral:tRNA from 1 species